rnacentral:snRNA from 1 species
AGCUUUGCGCAGUGGCAGUUUCCUUGCCAAUGAGGUUUAUCCAAAUUAGGAUUAUUGCUAAUUAAAAA